rnacentral:rRNA from 1 species
UACGGGGGGGGCAAGCGUUGUUCGGAAUUACUGGGCGUAAAGGGCUCGUAGGUGGCCAACUAAGUCAGACGUGAAAUCCCUCGGCUUAACCGGGGAACUGCGUCUGAUACUGGAUGGCUUGAGUUUGGGAGAGGGACGCGGAAUUCCAGGUGUAGCGGUGAAAUGCGUAGAUAUCAGGAGGAACACCGGUGGCGAAGGCGGUUCUCUGGGCCUGUACUGACGCUGAGGAACGAAAGCGUGGGGAGCGAACAGG